UUUAUGCUGAAUUAUAUAGUGUUUACUUAUGUUAGCAAUGCUGCAGCUCAAUUCCUUCUCAAUCACCUUCCUGAUGUGUUUGAUGAUCUCCAGUAAUUGGUCAUUACAGUGAAUGGCUGUCUGAUGGACUACCACUUUCCAGUUUUAGCUUCCAUUCUGACGCGAUCGCCUGAUUUAGAAUCUUUGUCCAAGACUUGCAAUGAAAAUCGAUAUCAACCUGACUGUUCCAGGAAGUUGAAGAAUAAGACAACCCAGUUUUGCAAACAGAGAGAAGGAUUUCGCAACCUAAUCGUCACCAACGGCAAGAAAUAGAAAUAGAGCUGAAAGGAAAAGGUCAUCAGGUUGGGGUUGUGGAAAACAUGCUUAAGAUUGCCAAAGGGUCGAAGAAGAUGAUCAUCAUUUCCUCAAAGGCAAACUCGAAAUCGCUGUCAAAGACGGGCUACAUAAUUCCAGGGCAGCAUUUUAUUGUUCGAUUUGAAUUUAGUUGAGAAAGAAUUUCACGUUGGAGAAUACAAGAGGACUGAUUUUCGUUGCAAAUUGAUUGCAGUGAAUGAACGUUUUUAUGAAUAAUCUUGGGUUGUAUUUAUUUAGUAUUUCAAAAUAAAAAAAAAUAAACUCAAAAAAGAUAAAAUAUGUUUAGUUAAAAAGAUAAGUUUAGAAUAGUACUUCCUUUCUACUUCCUCAUUUCCGCCGCUGCUCAAAAAACCCAGUCGACCCAACCCUUUCUUUCCUCCUUGAAACCGCAUAAACCAGCCGAUUAUUCCUCCUCCAAACCCAGCAUCCUUAGUGUUUUUUCUCCAAAAAACCGCCGUCUCCAACGCGAUUUGUAGCCUCCACCGCCUCGACCACCACUCCUCAGUCGACAAAUCUAGUUGCAGUGAUGAGGCCAACGUUGGAUUGCUUAGAGAUAAUGAGAAGGUCAAGAUACUCUUGUUGUUUUGUUACAAUAGUAUUGCAAUAGGAAGCGACGACAGCAUUUCAGACUUCAGACUCCUACAAAUGGUGAAUGCCACUAAAGGGUUGUUCAUAUCCUGUGACAUACCUAUGGCACAAUUCAUCAUCAAUUUGAAUGCUUCGCUACCGGCAUCACAGAAGUUCAUCAUUCAUAUUUUGGACAGCUCUCACAUGUUUGUUCAACCCCAUGUGUCUGAAAUGAUACGAAGUGCAAUUGCAGACUUCAGAGAGCAGAAUUCCUACGAGAAGCCUCCUUAAUUAGUCUAUCUUUUCCCUCGUUUAUGGUAUUUGUAUCUUAAACACUCAUUGCACCAUCAUAUCCAUGCUUAAGCUCAUCAAUAUUUCUGUUUGCGUUUGUCAUGCAAUGCAAAUCAAAGCCUUCUUGCUAAUGGAACAAAAUAUCCACAGGCAAUAUCCGUUUAAGUCGGAGUCUACUUGGAAGGGCAUGGAGUUGAAACGUGUUUUCCUGUAUAGCUCCUUAGUAUUCUUGCAAAACAAGAGAGACUACGUGGGGUAUAUUUGCCAUAUUUGCUUUGGCGUCAGGAGGAGUUGAGGUUAAAAUUCAAAUUGAAGUGUCCCUCUUUGAUCAGGUUUCUUGUAGCUUAGAAUCUUUACCUUGAGAGUUCCGUGAACUAAAUGUAAUAUAAGUAUUUUAGCCUCUACAAGUAAGGAUUCUUGAAGCCAUAUAAGUGGCAGGUUGUCCUACACGUUUGUUUCAUCUGACCAGGUCGUUGGCACAUCAUGAAGCAACAUGAAAAAAAUUCUCCCCU